AAAUAAAAGAAAAAAUUUAAUUCUAACUAAUAUACACGUACCUUGGCCGUCAUGCUCAGUCAUAAGAAGGCUCCUCCAAGGAAAAGGAGUCCUCUUCAUCUGCAAAAUUCUCAAGAAAAGGUUUUAAUCUUUGUCCAUUUAUCUUAAAAAUUGUGCCAUCUUGUGGAUUUUCAAUUUCAACUGCCCCGUGUGGAAAAACAGUUUUUACAAUGAAAGGACCUGUCCAUCUUGAUCGUAACUUUUCAGGAAACAGAUGUAAGCGAGAGUCAUACAAAAGAACUUUUUGUGCAGGUUCAAAAGAUUUUCUUAGAAUUGAGUUAUCAUGCCUAAUUUUCAUUCGUUCUUUACA
rnacentral:lncRNA from 1 species